UUAUAGUGCUCAAGGAGUAAUUAGUGACAUCUUAUUAAUUACAUCCUAAGCUCAUCUUGAAGAAAGAGACAGACACACAAAGGAAAGAGAAAAUGAAACUCAUGGCCCAUCAAAAGCGAUUAGAAUAACCCUACCUAAGAUAUCUCUCUUGUACUUGUAUCUAUUUUUUUUUAAAGUGGAUCAAAGGACUAGCUAAUAAGAUGUCACUAGUUACUUCUUCAACACCAUAAA
rnacentral:pre_miRNA from 1 species